UACGGGGGGGGGUAAGCGUUGUUCGGAAUUACUGGGCGUAAAGAGCUCGUAGGCGGCUUGUCGCGUCGUCCGUGAAAACUUGGGGCUCAACCCCAAGCUUGCGGUCGAUACGGGCAGGCUAGAGUUCGGUAGGGGAGACUGGAAUUCCUGGUGUAGCGGUGAAAUGCGUAGAUAUCGAGAGGAACACCUGCGGCGAAGGCGGGUUGCUGGGCCGACACUGACGCUGAUGCGCGAAAGCCAGGGGAGCGAACGGG
rnacentral:rRNA from 1 species